UCUUUUUCUUCUCUUCUUCAGAACCUUCCCGACUCCCUCCUCUCUUCACCCUUUCUCCUCCUCUCUUCUCCGACGAAGGGAGGACGGCGAGCGUAAGUGGGCCGGACGGCGAGCGGAAGGGGGCCGGACCGGCGGCGUCGGCGGCCGGCCCUGCAGCGUCCCCGGCUGAGCCUGCGGCGCUCUCGGCCAUGCCUACGGUCGACGCUCAUGUCGACGGUGCUCGCGGCCGAAGCCGGCGGCCGCCGCACACGAUGACGAGCCGGUCUAAAUCCAGAUAGAGAUAGAAUGACCAGCACUGAAGAAAUGCCCGAGAUUUCUGGAUCGUACCUUUCAUAUAUUGCAGUUGCAUUUUCUCAUACUUACCAUGCAUGUUUAACAAUAUAAUUUUCAAUGCAGUCAUAAAGCCAUCCGUUGAUGGCAAUGAGCAAGUUUCAAAAAUUGAAAGAUUACGUCUAAGAGAACCAAAAGAACAGCCCGUGAUGCAGCUAGGAUAUUGAGGCAAGUCGCAUUGCUCUCGAGUCACCACUAAUGUUGCAUGUUUCUGAUUCUUUAGGAAUAUCUGAAUUACUAGUCUGUCAUAUAAUCAGGCAAAAGUUUUCAUCCAUUUCAGUGGAUCUAUAUUAAGUCCUUGUUAACGAAUGUGCAGUCUAUCAAAUAUAUAUUUAACUGAUUUUUUUUUUUUCAUGAAAGAAUAAAACCUGAAACAA